CACUUUUGACAAAACUUUAGGCGGCCAAAUUUUAUACAGUAGGUAAAAGAAAAGACCACAGCUGCGCAUAGCCAAAUCUUUUUUCUACUCAAAAUUGCAGCUGCCCUAGUUUGAGAUCAAUCAUAAACACAUUGCAACUGAGCAAGGUCGUCACUCUUCCCUGAUCUCAACUCAUUCAUCUUAAUCUUGACGUUUCUCUACACUAAUUCUUUCUUUUUCUUUGUAUCGUUGAUGCUCUGCUCUAAUCGUUUCUCUUUAUCGUUCCACCACAACUUUUCUCGAAACAGAAUUUCAGUGCUGCUCUGCCCUAAUUGUUUUUUCUUUAUAUUACCUCUGCUCUGCCCAACUUUGUUCGAACAAAAAUUCCAGAUUCAAGAUGAAGCUAUUGAAGACUUAAAAUGAGGCUGCUCAUCUAUGAAGAGUACUAUCAGAUAUACCUUUGUCGCGCCUAGUGCUAUUGGAAAGGGACAAGGACGAGGGCUUAAAAUCAUUGGAUGAGAGAAGAAAUUUGCCAACUAAGAGUUAUGUUUCUCAAUCUAGUGUUCUGGUUAAUCAGUACAUCCAAGAAUUUGAAACAAGGAAGGAACAAGGACAAGGACUUAAAAAGUCUACUUUGUUUACUAGUCAAGGAAUGACAACAAUACCUAAGAACUCGAUUGAUCUUGUGAAAGAGAAAAAACAAAUUAGCUCCUCAGCUCAUGCAUUGACUAAUCUCGGGAAGGGCCGAGUACAAGAAAUUGCAAACUCUGCUUUGUUUACUAGUAAAGGAAUGCCAACGAUACCUCAGAACUCCAUAGAUCUUGAACAAGAAAACAAGCAAACUAACCUCUCAGCUUAUGCAUCAACUAAUGUAGAUUCUGUAGGAAAUGGGCGAGGACAAGGACCUAAAAGCUCUAUUUUUUUGACUAGUCAAGGAAUGGGAAUGAACCAUAACAACAACAUGACUUGUGAAUCUGAGGUGGGAUGUAAUAACAAGAGUGGUCUUUCUUCUAAUCAACAUACAAAAACUCAUUCUAAAAGAACAAGAGCAAAUUCGGCCAUAUUGUCUAGUCAAAAAAUGCAAAAAAUGGAUAAAAUGAUUCUUGAGAAAGAGGAUAUGCACUCUUUUGAUCCGGUUAUGGAACACUCUCAAACAACUGAAAAAGCUUAGUUUAAAUACAUAUCUUAUUAAUUUAUGAAGCUGAAUUUGAUUGCUAUAGUUCUUUCUAAAUUAUGCAAUGUAGGUUCAUCUAAUCCUACAAAGGUAAGAAGUGUUCGAGGGAGCAACAUGUGCAAAGAAGUUGAUUCACUUGAAAAUGGAGAAAAGCUGAAAGUAACAUUUUACAAUAAUUUAACUUUUGGAACAAAAACAAAUUAUUUUUGAGGUAUUUAGGAAAAAUUGUUCGUGAUCGUAAUAUUUGUCCACUUGGAGUAACCUCAUGGUGUGAUAUUAAGCCAGAAAAAUUAUUUCACAUGUGUUCAGCUGCUGGGGUAACAAAUUUUAACUUCAUUCAAAUCUUUCAUUAACAUAUUCUCUAUAUUUUUUCAGUUUUGCAAUUUCUUUCUCUUCCUUGUAAUGCUUUAUCUGUUAUGCUUUGUUUAUUUCUUAACAGUAAAAUGAAAAAUGUUCUAAAAAGCGAAAAAAGUUAUCCUAAAUCUUUAUACAAGUACAUCCUAAAUGAAUAAGGAUAGUAAAACAAGUACAUCUAACGAAGUUCCCUAAUCUUUUUAUCUUACUUACUUCAGAACUACUGCUUAUUGUACUAGAACAUAUAUUUUUCAUUGUUUUCCUUUCUUGAUUCUUCUCACUUGGUAAUAACUCAACUCAUGUCUCGAUUUUUAUAGAACAAAUUUGAGGCUAUUGACAUGAAUGAUCAUCGUGAUUAUAUCUUCAGAUGGAUGAAUGAGUUAUGGAACAAAUGGAGAGGACACUUACAUGAAAAAUAUGUCAAGAAUAAUCCCAUUCAACAGUCUCUCAAAAAUAUCCCAAGGGGAGUAGACAAAAAAGAAUAGGAAUGGUUAGUAAAGGAACAUUUUACUUCUGAAAGUUUUCAGGCAAAAAGCAUCAGGAAUGCAACAAAUCGAUCUAAGUUGAAGAUGCUUCAUCAUAUUGGUAGCAAAUCUAUUCUAGAUAUUAUUUAUCAAAAGGGUGGGAAAUAUUACAAUCCACCAGAUUUGACGACUAUUUUCUUUGAGACUAGUAAGAAAGAUAACAAGCUUGUUGAACCUGAAGCAAUUGAAAACCAUUCUCAACUUGAGGAAAUAGUUCAAGAAGAUCCAUCUUUAUCUAGUAUAAAGAUUGUUGAAAAAUGUUGUGGACCACAAACUCGUAGUCAUGUAUUUGGAUUUGGGGGUGGAGUGAAGGCGAAAGAUUUGAAAGGUGGAACUUAUUCAAGGGCUGCACUUUGGUCUGCGCUAAGUUCAACUCGAGAGGAUAACAAAUUCUUGAAUGAAGAAAACAAAUCCUUGAAUGAUCGCUUGUCCACCUUAGAAGAUAAGAUGAAACAAUUUUUUGAUGCUCAACAAUCAGAUCUACCACCUAUAGUAUCGCAUGUUUCAAAUGAAUGACAACUAUUUUUCUUUUGACCAAAUUAAACACACAACGUCUGACUAUCGGAAAAAAAAGUAAAGUCAGCAUCUCUAUCUGCAUUGUUUGGGGGAUUAAGCAGGAUUCAUAUUGGGAUGGAAAUAUACAAGAUCUGUUUCUGGACAAUACAAAAUUACUGUCUGCAUUAACCAUGUUCUUUUGCUGUUUUUUCUGGAUAACACUAGAUGAAGAUUGGAACUUCUAAUAUUUUGCCUAGCUUUUGUUCAUUCUUCUAUGCAAAGAGACAAGUUUGGAAGCAGAUGAAUGAGCUCACUUUCAGAUUGCUACAAAUUUAAUGCAAAACUUGAUGUCAUUGUCUAACUCGGCUGCUAGCUAUGAUUUUUUGUUAAGCAGACAUUAAAACAUAUAUUAUGGAUGUCAACAGAUUAUCGUAAUUAACAUUUUCUUUACAUAUAUCUUUUUGUCUCA